GGGUGUGAUUAUAUUAAAAUUUAUGUAUUAGAUCCCACCAAAACUCCAAAGUUCAGUGUACUAAGAGCGAGAAUAAUACUAAGAUGGGUGAUUCAUUUGGAAGUUCUCAUUUUGCACCCC
rnacentral:rRNA from 1 species